rnacentral:lncRNA from 1 species
CAACUUUGCUAUCUUAGAACGGAUCACCAGUGAAAGAGGGGAAGUUGCUACUGUGAUGAAUUCUGCCAUGUGGUACCAGACUGCUGCCCAGACCACAGUGUCCUCUGCAACCCUGGUAACUCACAUACAGGCCUGAUUCCACCUACAGCAAAGCUGGAUGCUAUGGUUGGCAGAGGCAAGCCCCUUGCCUGCACUUCAGGCCAAAGCCGGGAUGUGGCCUAGAUGGUUCCUAAGGUCCCUGACAGUCCUGAGAUCUUUCAUCUUGUCUAUUUCAGGUCAAAGCUUCUCAGAUGACCAAGAUGGUGCUGCCGAUGGUGUUGAGGACGGAGAACCCACCAAGCCCCGUUAGGAGCCACCUAGACUGGAUGCAGAGCACAGCUAAAACCUUUGAAGAGGAAUUUAUUAUAUCCUACAAACCUGGGAGGCAGAGGUUGCAGUGAGCCAAGUUCGGUCCAUUGCACUCCAGCCUGGGCAACAAGAAUGAAACUCUGUCUCAAAAAAACAAAAGUUGGCUAGGGCCAGGUGUGGUGGCUCACACCUGUAAUCCCAGCACUUUGGGAGGCUAAAGCAGGCGGAUC